rnacentral:rRNA from 1 species
GUCCACGCCCUAAACGAUGUCAACUAGUCGUUCGGAGCAGCAAUGCACUGAGUGACGCAGCUAACGCGUGAAGUUGACCGACUGGGGAGUACGGCCGCAAGGUUAAACUCAAAGGAAUUGACGGGGACCCGCACAAGCGGUGGAUGAUGUGGAUUAAUUCGAUGCAACGCGAAAAACCUUACUACCCUUGACAUGUCUGGAACCUUGGUGAGAGCCGAGGGUGCCUUCGGGAGCCAGAACACAGGUGCUGCAUGGCUGUCGU